GCGUUACGUUGGCAAUGGUGCUAUUUUCCGGUGAGUUUUUGUCUGGUUCGUUCGUUUACAAUGUUUAUCCGCAAAAAUCUUGCAAAAGAAAUGCAAUCUACUGAUUUUACACAACUAGAAAUUAAGAAAAUGAAGAUUUCGUGAAAAUGAAGUGGAAAAAAUCAUGACACUUAGUGCAUUCAGAUUGUUCCUAAAGUGAGGCCUGAACAAAAGAGUUGUCAACUACUAUGAUUCCAGCUUAGGCCUAGACGUUCAUUGACGAUGAGGAAAAAUCAAACUGUACUACAAAACUCUGAGGACACAACUAAUAAAUCUUCUCUUUACUUUUUUUCUUAUAAUUAUAAUCCUUGGCGAUAUCGAUGUAUUCCCUUGGGUAUAUGUACUCCAAAAACUGCAACAUUAGAUAACACAAAGAGACCGCCAGUAAAAAUGGCCAAACACCACUUGUUUUGUAACUAAAAUAAAAACAGAAAAGUUAAA